UACGUAGGUGGCAAGCGUUGUCCGGAUUUACUGGGCGUAAAGCGUGCGUAGACGGUUAUUUAAGUCGGGUGUGAAAGCCCCGGGCUCAACCUGGGAAUUGCAUUCGAGACUGAAUAGCUAGGGUACGGUAGAGGGAAGCGGAAUUUCCGGUGUAGCGGUGAAAUGCGUAGAUAUCGGAAGGAACAUCAGUGGCGAAAGCGGCUUCCUGGACCAGUACCGACGUUCAGGCACGAAAGCGUGGGGAGCAAACAGG
rnacentral:rRNA from 1 species